rnacentral:rRNA from 1 species
GAGUUUGAUCAUGGCUCAGGACGAACGCUGGCGGCGUGCCUAAUACAUGCAAGUAGAACGCUGAAGAGAGGAGCUUGCUCUUCUUGGAUGAGUUGCGAACGGGUGAGUAACGCGUAGGUAACCUGCCUUGUAGCGGGGGAUAACUAUUGGAAACGAUAGCUAAUACCGCAUAACAAUAGGUGACACAUGUCAUUUAUUUGAAAGGGGCAAUUGCUCCACUACAAGAUGGACCUGCGUUGUAUUAGCUAGUAGGCGAGGUAACGGCUCACCUAGGCGACGAUACAUAGCCGACCUGAGAGGGUGAUCGGCCACACUGGGACUGAGACACGGCCCAGACUCCUACGGGGGGCAGCAGUAGGGAAUCUUCGGCAAUGGGGGCAACCCUGACCGAGCAACGCCGCGUGAGUGAAGAAGGUUUUCGGAUCGUAAAGCUCUGUUGUAAGUCAAGAACGAGUGUGAGAGUGGAAAGUUCACACUGUGACGGUAGCUUACCAGAAAGGGACGGCUAACUACGUGCCAGCAGCCGCGGUAAUACGUAGGUCCCGAGCGUUGUCCGGAUUUAUUGGGCGUAAAGCGAGCGCAGGCGGUUUGAUAAGUCUGAAGUUAAAGGCUGUGGCUCAACCAUAGUUCGCUUUGGAAACUGUCAAACUUGAGUGCAGAAGGGGAGAGUGGAAUUCCAUGUGUAGCGGUGAAAUGCGUAGAUAUAUGGAGGAACACCGGUGGCGAAAGCGGCUCUCUGGUCUGUAACUGACGCUGAGGCUCGAAAGCGUGGGGAGCGAACAGGAUUAGAUACCCUGGUAGUCCACGCCGUAAACGAUGAGUGCUAGGUGUUGGAUCCUUUCCGGGAUUCAGUGCCGCAGCUAACGCAUUAAGCACUCCGCCUGGGGAGUACGACCGCAAGGUUGAAACUCAAAGGAAUUGACGGGGGCCCGCACAAGCGGUGGAGCAUGUGGUUUAAUUCGAAGCAACGCGAAGAACCUUACCAGGUCUUGACAUCCCGAUGCUAUUUCUAGAGAUAGAAAGUUACUUCGGUACAUCGGUGACAGGUGGUGCAUGGUUGUCGUCAGCUCGUGUCGUGAGAUGUUGGGUUAAGUCCCGCAACGAGCGCAACCCCUAUUGUUAGUUGCCAUCAUUCAGUUGGGCACUCUAGCGAGACUGCCGGUAAUAAACCGGAGGAAGGUGGGGAUGACGUCAAAUCAUCAUGCCCCUUAUGACCUGGGCUACACACGUGCUACAAUGGUUGGUACAACGAGUUGCGAGUCGGUGACGGCAAGCUAAUCUCUUAAAGCCAAUCUCAGUUCGGAUUGUAGGCUGCAACUCGCCUACAUGAAGUCGGAAUCGCUAGUAAUCGCGGAUCAGCACGCCGCGGUGAAUGCGUUCCCGGGCCUUGUACACACCGCCCGUCAA